ACCCAGGGCCUUUGUACUAAGCUACAUCAUCUGCCCCCCUCCCCAUUACAAACUUUUUUUCCAGGGGGACAGAGUUUGCUAAGUUGCUGAGUUACCCAGGCCGGGCUUGAACUUGAAUUCCUUUUGCCUCAACCUCCAAGUGAGAGCCUGGAGUCCUUAAGUGCUUAGCUUCCUGGUAUCCUGUGUCACACCUAACCCAGAAUCUUGUCUUGAUCGCAUUUCCCUGGGCAGAACUUUCAAGACUUUGUUACCUCCCAAAGGCCAGACUUCUCAAUCCUAUCAUAUUGGCAACACCUGGAUUUUGGAGCAAAUACAUUCAAACCAAGAUCACCUAGAACUAAAGAAUGCAGUCUUCAGUAGCCAGAUUCUCCAGCUGCUCAUACAGGCCUAGGUGUUGGACCUGCUCUGCAGUCACGUAGCUCACAUGACAAACUAUUUUACCUCACUGGACAUCAGUUUCCUGCCCUGUGAAGUGAACUGAGGUUGUAAUCUAUCAGUGUUUGCUCAAAGGGUUCUUAUCAUCAAUCAUGGCUCUUGUGAUGCAAAAAGAUUAUGCAGGGAAAAAGUGGCUCUGGCUCUCAGUGCCAUGAGCAGGUCUUAGACACUAGGGGCAUAGGAACACAUUUAAAGCUUUGAGUACUCCUGCAGAGAAUAAAUAAAAAACAUCCUAGCAAUGGCAGGUAGGACUCUUGACCUGGUUUGAGGGUUAAAUAUGCUCUAUGAUCCCUUCCAGCUUUAAACAUUAAAAGAAAUGAUUGGAAUAUUAU